UUCGUUAACAACAAGCAGCUGCUAGAUUAUUGUGUCACGGACCACUCAAGUGCUUGCCCUGCUAGCAGAAUCCAAACCGGAGCCCUGACCUUCCUCCGCCUCACCCAGCCGAGCCUGGCUCCCGGGCAGCCCCUCUCAGCUCCGCCCCCUCGGGGCGCUCUGGGGGGCCUCUCCCUGUCUGCCCUGAGCUACAGAAACCCAGCUUGCAGGAGAUGCCCGUGAGACGGGGAUUUAACACCUGCCCAGCAUCGAUUACAGGGUUAUUGUAAAAAUCUGGGGACAGAGCGCCGGUAGGAGAGAUUUUUCAAAGAUGAAAUGGCUGUUGGUCGCCAGGCUAGCGUGAAGCAGUCUCCAAAUGCGUCUCUCCUCAGCCUCGGGAGAGAGGGUUUGGGGGUGGAAGGUAGCUGCUCAAGCUCCCAGCGUGUUCCUGCUUCGGUUUCACCCUGUGAACCCGCCGUGACUUGGCGCUUGGAGCCGCGAUUAACAAGAGCACGUCGGAGACCUGCCCAGCGCCCGGCCUGACCCGGAGGCAGCGCGGGAGGUUUCGUGGGUGCAGCGCCAGGCGGGGUUGCACAGCUGGUGAGCUCGCCCCAGCCUUCUCUGUGCCGCCCUUGCUCCCCACACAGGGGCGGGCGAGGCGGGGAGCUCGGCCGUGGGCCAGCCUGCAGCCGCCUUCCCGGGCCUCCGACUCCCUGUCAUUUUCAAACUCCGCGUCCAGGCCCGGGCUUAGUUUUCCUCCCAGGCUCAACUCAGAUUUUGUCUGUCUGUGAAGCCUUCUGGGCUUCGCACCCAGUGCCAUUUGCACACGUACUGGGGUGAAAUUAUGCACCCCGCCCCCCAGAGUUGGAAGCUCGGUGGUGAACGGAAUUUUCUGAUCCUGGGCUGGAGCGGAGCAGGUGGCUCGUGAAUGAGGGCCGUCUUGCUGCUGCUCCUCUUGUCAUGCGUUCUCUCUUGGGACUGGCGGCUGGAACACUUGUCAGCAGAAAGCUUUUCCCUGUCAGGAAGGGCCAGUGCUGGGCAGCUGAGAGGCCGCAGCCCUGCCCCGUGGUAAUGCCCAGCUCACGCGAAAAGAAUGUCCUUGAUAACAUUUGCAGGCUGCCAGGGCAGAGUUCAGAGUGGAUGGUUAAUCGGCCGUCAGGGUGACUACCUCCUGCCAUUGCAGGGGACUCUCGGCUUGGGAACUUUUCGUCACAAACUGCUUUAUUACACGGAUAAAAAAUUUACAGAAGAGCUGCAUCCUUUUCAGCAGCCUGAUGUCUUGUUUUGGAAGAAUACAUUUGCAUGAAUGUCUUGGGUUUAAGAAAAAAAUACAAGCCCAGGGAGGUGGGCGUCCAGAGGCGCCAGGUGUGGAACCCCGGCCCUCACCCUGCGCAAGGAGGAAGGGCAGGUGUGCCCGGGGCACUGGGGCGGGCAGCCAGGCCACCCAGGCCCAUUUCGGUUCUGUGUUUGUUUUCCUAGCGGUUCUCUGUGGCGCCCAGGCCCGCGGCACCCUGGGAACCUGUCAGAUGCGCGGGUGUCCAGGCCUUCCAGGGGGCAGCUCUGGGGGGGCCCGGGAGCUCCUGCCCCAGCCCAGCCGCAGCCUGCAGAGCCGGGCUGCCCCCGCCCCCGGCCCCAUCUGGAGGCAAAGGUGCUUUCAAAGCAUUCGGAUCUCUGAAGUGCACCUCCCCAGGCGCACAGUGCCGACAGCCUUGGGGCACGCGGGCACACAGAGAUGCCACGCGGGCUCCUGCGGGCACGCAUGCGUGGACUUCUCCUCCGGUGCCUUUCCCUUUGCCCUGCCGGCGGGAACGCCGCACGCGCACGGUCGCGCCCACUGCUGUUUGCCCACGCAGGGUCGGAGCGCAACCGCCGCUGGGUGGGGUCAGGGAUGCCUUCCCCUAGAGCUGCUUCCAGGCCGCCGGCACGCGCGGACGCCACGCCCUGCCCCGCCCUGCCCCUCUCCCUGCCCCGCCCUGCCAUACCCCUGCCUCUCCCUGCCCUGCCCUGCCCCGCCCUGCCCCUCUCCCUGCCCUGCCCCGGUCCCCGGCUGGUGGGCAGCGGGAAGCGGCCUCCCCUUGCACGCCUCGGUCCCCGCCGCUGCUCCUGCUCCCCAGCGGCGGCAAAGCUGCGAGUGUGCCUGGCACCAGCGUGCCUGCCGAGAGCUUGCUCAGCCCCAGCCGGCUUCGCAGGGUCCCGGCGGCCCGGGCGGCCCUCGGCCCUCACCGCGCUCCCGGACGCGCCCCCUCAUGGCCGCGCUGGGCACUGCACGUCCCCGCGCCCGGCCCACCUCACUCUGCUCCGGCUCUGUCCCGCCUGCUUCUCCCGUGGGACUGUUGCAUGGGGCAGCAAUACUUGCGUUCAAUGUUUCACUUGCAAGGAUGCUGUGAAGACCACACAAGAAAUAGCGCUUUGACAAUAAGAACCAGCAAUGAAAAUCCAGGGUGCUGAUCUCAUCCCAAGAGAACGCUCACCUCUGUGGAGGACGCACUUGUGCUGCCCCUUGAAAGGCCCACACGGAGGUUGCUACAGUCUGAGGUGGAAGCUCACGACACUGCAGUGGCAACGAACGGUGCAGGUGGGGACGGGUGCUUUGAAGAAUCCCCACUAUGACAGCUCCUUCAGUCCUAGGGAGGAAGAAGUGGGGUGUCCUGAUAAAGUAGGGGCACUGCUGGGGGCCUUCCCUCAGCCCCGGAGAGAGGAACAUCACCCUCACCCCGCCCGUUUGGGCUGGCCUGCCUCAUCUGCCAGGGUCUCUCAGCCAGGGGUCUCCAGCGGGGCAGCUCAGCCUGCAGCCCCCUCCCAGAAGCAGGGGUACCCUCCUACAGCCUCCAGGCUCGCUGCAGGGGCUGCUGCUUUCCUGUCUGCUGACGCCGGUGGGGGGCGGUGGAGUCAGAUCCGCCCCAGUCAACAUUCUGCUGGGCAGAGGACCAGCGGGUCAUGGGCACGGUGAGGACGAGGCCUUGGUGUGACCGAGACUCUCUGCUGGAGAGAAGCUGUAUUUUUGAAGGGGGAAAGCCAGAGCCAAUAAUGUCAUCCCUCUGAGGCCAGAGACAAGGAAAGCGGAGCUCAUCAGUCUGUUCGCCACUGGAGGGGCCGCCUUCCAGAACAGGCCUUUCCCACUUGCUGGAAGAACGAAGAACCAACCACACAGGAGGAAGAAGCGGAGGCUGGUUGUGUGAUGGGUGCCAGCAGGACGCCUCUGCCCAGGUGCCUUUAGAUGGGAGGUAAAUGCCUAUGUAAGGAGAUGAAGCAGACUGGUUGCUGAUCGGAGCACAGACACCGUGUGAAUAGCAUGCCCACUUGGUAAGGAACCUGGCUGUAUCUGAUAUGAAACUUCAUAAUUCAACAUCAUCUGUAGUAAUGGACGUACCUAAUGUACUUCUGUGAAAAGAAACGUUUUCUACAUUUUGGUGCCUGUAAUUUUUCAUCGCUUCUGCGUGGCCCGUCAUUGCUAACUGCCGUCAUUUUUGUUGCCGCUGCUGUCUCUCAAGCCUUCAAAGUUAAUUCUAGAUUUAGCGGAAGCUCUGUGAAGCCCAGCCUGCUGGAGGUUGUGACUUGGGUGAAGAAUUCAUGGGGUAAAAUCGCUGACACCUGUGCUGUAGAUGUUUUAUGAGCAGGCUACAUGGGCAAGGCAUGGCCGUUUAAGGAGCGCGCUAUUGCUGGGCGCAAGAGACGGGGGCCAAUGGUUCUACGGGAAAUGGAACGGCAGGAAAUCCAGGCUGGGAUUUGGAGAGCUUUGAUGAGGUUCAGAAGAAAAUGACUGACUGUUAUUGGGAUAAAGAUAGAUUUUUGUACCUGAAUAACUGUAGGUUUUUGUCCAUGAAUAAAUAAAUAAAUAAAUGUAGGUUGUCACACGUGAAAAAAUAUGCCAUAUCCUGAAAAUAAGCCCCGCUGCAUCUUUUGGAGCAAAAAUUAAUAUAAGACCUGGUCUUAUUUUGGGGGAAAUACGGUAUUUGUGACUGAGUGAGAUAGGAAUCAGAGUUCAUGUUGAAACUUCUCUGAAUCCAAAUCAGUGAUAACAACUUUAUACCUUUUUUCUAACAUGAAUCAAUUGCAGAAGAUUUUAACUGUAAUCGGCACUAUUAGGGAAUUGGCCACAAAAGCAACAAAAAUGUGAAGGAUAAUUUGUGAUAUUGAUAAAUUUAGAGUUGCUUUCAGUGACAUCUGUCAAUUCAUGCCAAGAAAACUGGACUGACCUACGCAUUGGUGAAUUUACCUAAUUUGGGCAAAAGUUGCUUUGAGAGACACGCUUUUGUUACAAAGUCAAAUUGAUUUUUCUAAAAAAUGAGCUAUUUUAUCCAAUGUGAAUGCAAAUACUAAUAGAAAAUUAUUUUGGGGAAAAUUUCAGAGUAUGUUUGGAAUACCUUGGAUAUGUGAAUCUAUGUUUUUUAAUGGUAAAUUUUAUGAAAUGUCAAUGGAGAUCUAAUAUUUCUGAUAUGAAUUUGGUAUUCAAAUGGAGAUAUAUUGUCAGUAUAAAAUACAUACCAGAUUUCAAAGAUGUAGUAUAAAAAUGUGAAAUAUUUCUUAUGUUGACUACAUGUUGAAAUAAUACUUUUGAUUUAUUGAGCUAGACAAAAUAUAUUAUUAAAAGUAAUUUCUCUUAUUUAUUUUUACCUUUUUGAUGUGGACAUUAGAUAAUUUAAUGUACAUGGCUGCUGUUAUCUAUUUUUUUGUACUCCUAAUAUAGUUGCACACGAAGCUUCUCCAGGAAAACAAGAAUCAUCUUUAUCCUUAUAUAUUUUUUCUCCACAAUGGAUCCUUGUUGUUAGGACUAUGCUUAACAAACAGAAGAUGCUCAAUAAAUAUUUGUUC